rnacentral:rRNA from 1 species
GAUGAACGCUGGCGGCGUGCCUAAUACAUGCAAGUCGAGCGAACAGACGAGGAGCUUGCUCCUCUGACGUUAGCGGCGGACGGGUGAGUAACACGUGGAUAACCUACCUAUAAGACUGGGAUAACUUCGGGAAACCGGAGCUAAUACCGGAUAAUAUAUUGAACCGCAUGGUUCAAUAGUGAAAGACGGUUUUGCUGUCACUUAUAGAUGGAUCCGCGCCGCAUUAGCUAGUUGGUAAGGUAACGGCUUACCAAGGCAACGAUGCGUAGCCGACCUGAGAGGGUGAUCGGCCACACUGGAGCUGAGACACGGUCCAGACUCCUACGGGAGGCAGCAGUAGGGACUCUUCCGCAAUGGGCGAAAGCCUGACGGAGCAACGCCGCGUGAGUGAUGAAGGUCUUCGGAUCGUAAAACUCUGUUAUUAGGGAAGAACAAAUGUGUAAGUAACUAUGCACGUCUUGACGGUACCUAAUCAGAAAGCCACGGCUAACUACGU